GUGCUCACUUCAGCAGCACAAAUAUUAAAAUUGGAACAGCCCCUGUGCAAGGAUAACAGCAAAUUUGUCAAGUGUCCCAUAUUUUU
ensembl:snRNA U6 U6 spliceosomal RNA